CUCUCCUCUGACUCGCUUUUACACACACUCAUAGGAACCUGACAGAACAGAAUCUGUCUUCUUCCUGAAAAGAUCUCCAGUUCCUUCCUUUAUCCUGUGUGGCUGGCUCCAGCUCUUGAGAGAAAACUGAGAGGCUCAAAAAGCCUUAGUAUAUGGGCUUUCAUCCUCAUGCUUGCCACCUCAUGGUCACAAAGAGGCUGCUGUAACUCCAGAUGUCAUGUCCACAUUCAAAACAGAAAAAAAGGAGAAAGAAGAAAAGGGGACUGGGAGACUUCUCCUUACGUCUCACAGACCAGAGCUGGGUCACAUGGCCACCACUAACUGCAAAGGAGACUGAUGGCUGAAGGAGCUCAUAAAGGCAAAAGUACCUAGAACACACAAAAAUCAUAAAGCAGCCCUGAUUAGGAGAGAGAAGGCUUGGAUGGAUCAUCAUGGAGCCAAGUGGACAAAGGCAAACUGUGUUUUAUAACAACAAGAGCCUGAAUCUUGCCCUAAAUUGAGAGUGAGGGAUGAGGGAGGGGAGAAAGCAAAGUUCAUCCUCACUCAGGAGAAAGUGUUCAGAUUUCUUCUGAGGAGCCAAAGAAGACAGAAAAUAAAAAGAAAUAAGAAUGACAGCAGUUUUCUCAGCAGGAAGAUGAGCAUUCUGCUUUUUCUGGACCCACUGUUGCUUCUCCAGGGACCUCUCAUGCCUUCCAACAAAAACCUCUGGGGCUAAGGUCCUGCAGGUGCCUUUGGAAGAGAAUCGUGUGGGCAGGAGGCAGGAAGGAACAGGGGCAGUGUUCCAAGAGCUUCAAUCCUCAGGAAGAUCAUUCGCCCUUGAGAGGGACUUGGAGGUCAGCCACCCCAUUCUGCAUCUGCCCCUUGUGUCUCUAUCAACCUCUGCUCUAGCAUCGCCAAUGCUGGGAACUCGCCCUUAUUCAAAAGCUGUGAUAACUUGGGGGUGCUGGUAAGUUCUUUCACUAGACAUGGCAGCAGGACAGUGUUUUCUUGUUCCUUGUCAUAUUCCUACCACCCAGACACAGUGCUCAAUAAAUACUAGGUGCCUGAAUGGCUGAAUGAAUGAAGCAAUGAGCAGAUAUUCUGCCCAGCUUGUGGGGUUGGAGGCACAGUCUUCCUCUGAAAGAGGGGGGUGAUGAGCUGCCUGGGAUGCGGGGACCACGACAGAGCCCAGCCUGCCGGGGACAGAGCCAAGUGCCUGUGUCUUGUUGAGGGUAGGAUCUCUGGAACUGGAGAGAGAUGGAGAGCUCCAGGGUAAGACGUCUCUGGGGCAGCGACAGGACUCUUUCAAGUGUUCCUAGCGCCUGGCUGAGUGGCUGCCUUCCUCCACAGCCCUGACUUAUUACAUUCCUGGUAAGUUGAGGGAAAUUCAAUCCAUAUGUUCCUGGGGUUAUUUACAUGAUUCUCAGCAAGAUGCUGCCAUUGUGUAAGAGCCAUUUGACGUCGAUGGUGCUGCUCUCUUUUUUCCAUUCUGGAAGAAAAGCCAACUCCCCAGUCCCUGGAGAAGGAGGGGCAGGAGGACAGGGAGCCGUCAUCUGGGGCUUGAUCCACCAGGCAAUGCAGUGUCUAGGCAAAAAGCGUUCAGUGGACCUCCAGGGGGAGGCUGAAGAGAGAAGGGAAGACAGGGGCAUUGGCAGGUCGCUGCUCCCAGGACUCUUGCCCAGCCUGCACCCACGGGGGCUCUGCCAUCGGGACCUCAGCAAGAGGGUGGAGGUGGGAGCCCCUCAAUCAUGCACAGAAGAGCAGGAAGGAUAGCAGGAAGAUGGGGACUUCUAGGAAAGGAACUUAGGUUUGCAUAACUGUGGACCUCAGUUUCCCCUUCUGCAAAGUGUGCGGCUGCACUCUGUUCCACAGUCUUUGUAGGUGCCAAUAGACUAUUCUAGAACACCUUUUUGGUCUUAUUGUGAGUAUUAUCUGGCACUGCUUAGAUAAAUAAUUUUCAAGAAAAUAUUUUUACCACAAUCCUCAGUAAGAAAUACAUUUUAUACACUAACCCCAGUAUAUAUAAAUGAAACAAUGUUUUCACAAAUCAAUGCUUAUCCUUCCUACAAGGAUGGACAUGUAGAUCAAUGGAACAGAAGAGUCCAGAAAUAAACCUGUAUAUUUAGGAUCAAUGAAUUUCCAAUAGGAUGCCAAAGCCAUUCAAUGGGGAAAGAUUGCCAAUUUAUGUUUUUUUUUAAGGUUUUAUUUAUUUGAGAGAGAGAGAGAGAGAGCACAAGCUGGGGGGAAGGGCAGAGGGAGAAGUAGAUGCCUCACUGAGCAGGGAGCCUGAUGCAGGGCUCGAUCCCAGGACCCUGGGAUCAAGACCUGAGCCAAAGGUAGAUGCCUAACUGACUGAGCCACCCAGGAGCCCCUAAAGAUCACCACUUAAAAUGGUGGUGGCAACAAUUAGAUAUGCACAUGCCAAAAUACAUAGACUUAGACUCUUACUUCUCAUGAUACAAAAGUAUGAAUUAAAAAUGGAUCGUAGACUGGAAUGUAAGGAACACACUGUGUGUACACGGAAUAAGAAUGAUCCUCAUAAACGUUAUGCUAAGUGAAAGAAGCCAAACAUGAAAGACUAAACAUUUUGUGUUUCCCUUUAUAUGAAGUUUCUAGAAAAGGCAAGACAUUAGAGACGGAAAGCAGAUCCGAUGUGCACACAAGCUGUCAGGCUACUCACAGGCCUGAGGGCAUUUCCUGGAGGGUGGCAGCAUUCUAAACCAUGAUGAUGAUUGCACAGCUAUGUAAAUUUGCUGAAAAUGGUCACACUGUACACUUAUCAGGGAUGAAUUUUAUGGUAUACAAAUUAUAACUCAAAGAGACAUAUCCGCUAAUAAGAGUAAAUGUAAAUGAUAAAGAUGAUA